GCGCUCGUAGCUCAGCUGGAUAGAGCACCAGACUACGAAUCUGGGGGUCGGGAGUUCGAAUCUCUCCCGGCGCGCCA
rnacentral:tRNA from 1 species